CCCACCGCGUGGGUCCCUCUUUGGCUCGCUCCGAGGGGGGGGCUCGCGUUUUCACACAAACUCGAAGCAGUGUAGAAUGUCUUUUUUAUUUUGCGAUGACACGCAAUCAAUACAACUUUCAACAACGGAUCUCUUGGCUCUCGCAUCGAUGAAGAACGCAGCGAAAUGCGAUACGUAAUGUGAAUUGCAGAAUUCAGUGAAUCAUCGAAUCUUUGAACGCACCUUGCGCCCCUUGGCAUUCCGAGGGGCACACCCGUUUGAGUGUCGUGAAAUUCUCAAAAGCCCUUCCUUUGGUGGAGAGGAUUUUGGACUUGGAGGUCAUUUGCUGGUUUCACCUUGAAGCGAGCUCCUCCCAAAUGGAUUAGUGGGGUCUGCUUUGCCGAUCCUUGACGUGAUAAUAUGUUUCUACGUCUCGGGUUUCUGCACUGUACCUCUGCUUCUAACCGUCUCAUUGACAACGAUGGUGUUCCGGUCACCGCCGAUUCAUCGGUGGGAGGCUCGACCCACAAAAACGACCUGACCUCAAA
rnacentral:rRNA from 1 species